rnacentral:rRNA from 1 species
UACGGAGGGUGCAAGCGUUACGUCGAUUCACUGGGUUUAAAGGGUGCGUAGGCGGGUAUAUAAGUCAGUGGUGAAAGCUCCGGGCUUAACUUGGAACUGCCAUUGAUACUGUAUAUCUUGAAUAUCGUAGAGGUUAGCGGAAUGUUGCAUGUAGCGGUGAAAUGCUUAGAUAUGUUACAGAACACCAAUUGCGAAGGCAGCUAACUAUGCGAUGAUUGACGCUGAGGCACGAAAGCGUGGGGAGCAAACAGG